rnacentral:rRNA from 1 species
CCUACGGGAGGCUGCAGUAGGGAAUAUUGCUCAAUGGGGGAAACCCUGAAGCAGCAACGCCGCGUGGGGGAUGAAGGUUUUCGGAUUGUAAACUCCUUUUGUUAGAGAAGAUAAUGACGGUAUCUAACGAAUAAUCACCGGCUAACUCCGUGCCAGCAGCCGCGGUAAUACGGGGGGUGCAAGCGUUCCUCGGAAUCACUGGGCGGAAAGAGCGCGUAGGCGGGAUAGCAAGUCAGACGUGAAAUCCUAUGGCUUAACCAUAGAACUGCAUUUGAAACUGUUAUUCUAGAGUAUGGGAGAGGUAGGUGGAAUUCUCGGUGUAGGGGUAAAAUGCGUAGAGAUCAAGCGGAAUACUCAUUGCGAAGGCGACCUGCUAGAACCUAACUGACGCUGAUGCGCGAAAGCGUGGGGAGCAAACAGGAUUAGAUACCCGAGUAGUC